GAUGAAGAACGUAGCGAAAUGCGAUAAGUAAUGUGAAUUGCAGAAUUCAGUGAAUCAUCGAAUCUUUGAACGCACCUUGCGCCCUUUGGCUAUUCCGAAGGGCAUGCCUGUUUGAGUAUCAUGAACACCUCAACUCUCAUGGUUUGCCAUGAUGAGCUUGGACUUUGGGGGUCUUGCCGGCCUUUGGGUCGGCUCCUCUCAAAUUAAUCAGCUUGCCAGUGUUUGGUGGCAUCACAGGUGUGAUAACUAUCUACGCUUGUGGUUUUCCAUCAGGUAACCUUCAGUGAUGGAGGUUCGCUGGGGCUCAUAAAUGUCUCUCCUCAGUGAGGACAGCUUUUUUGAACGUUUGAUCUCAAAUCAGGUAGGACUACCCGCUGAACUUAAGCAUAUCAAUAAGCGGAGGA
rnacentral:misc_RNA from 1 species